rnacentral:rRNA from 13 species
AGUAAUUAAGUGCAUGUGGUGGAUGCCUUGGCAGUCAGAGGCGAUGAAAGACGUAAUAGCCUGCGAUAAGCUCCGGGGAGGCGGCAAAUAUCCUGUGAUCCGGAGAUUUCUGAAUGGGGAAACCCACCUCGCAAGAGGUAUCGCAUACUGAAUACAUAGGUAUGCGAGGCGAACCGGGUGAACUGAAACAUCUCAGUAGCUCGAGGAAAAGACAUCAACCGAGAUUCCGAAAGUAGUGGCGAGCGAAAUCGGAGGAGCCUGCAC